rnacentral:rRNA from 1 species
UACGGAGGGAGCUAGCGUUGUUCGGAAUUACUGGGCGUAAAGCGCACGUAGGCGGCUUUGUAAGUUAGAGGUGAAAGCCCGGGGCUCAACCCCGGAAUUGCCUUUAAGACUGCAUCGCUUGAAUCCGGGAGAGGUGAGUGGAAUUCCGAGUGUAGAGGUGAAAUUCGUAGAUAUUCGGAAGAACACCAGUGGCGAAGGCGGCUCACUGGACCGGCAUUGACGCUGAGGUGCGAAAGCGUGGGGAGCAAAUAGG